GCCCCUCGGCCAACUCCAUCAAGCUUCGGGUUGGAAGAACGUCGUCUCUCGCGAGGAUACCGAAGACUGGGGUAAUGGAAAAUCGUCGUCAAGGUUCGAACUCGCGAAGUGCCAUCGCCUGGGGCUCGAGGAGUUGUGCAGUCGCGUCGCGGGGGCGUGUUCAAGCUGAUGGGGGAAUUGGAAGGCAGUACUAAACCUCUAGAUGACCUUAAUUUCUCGACGGUGUGCGCAGAUCACGGAGAACCCGCCUCGCCUCGCAAACCAGCCACACCACCAUCUCCAACCACCGGUAAGUCGCUUGGAACUUGCUCUAUUGGACCUCCGCCUCACAUAUCCGUAGUUUCAGACGCCGGCGUUCCGGGAUGGCCAUCACCGGUGUGGGCACCACCGUGGGCGUGUGCGCGCCGCCGUGAGGUUGGGGUCUGAGGUUGGGGAUGGUGUCAUAACCGUUGGAUCGAUCUCUGAUGCUCCAGAUUUGAUGGGGUCGGUGGACACCCAUUUGCUUGAUCUGGUCCGUUGAUGGAAUCGGGCGGAUGAAGUUCUUCCACGUCCGGCUGAAUCUUGGGCCAUUGAUCUCUGAUCCUAGCGUCCAGGGUGCAUACCGAUUCGUAAUAAACACUGAUCUAAUCCGCAUCGUCACCUUUUAAUCGGACGAUUCUGGGUGCAAGAUACCCCUUCGGUCUGUGCAUUUUGCAGAUAAGCCCUCGAGAUUUUAAUAAAACAACACGCCGUCCCCUGUCAGCUAGAAGUAUUCACAGUCGGGUCCCUAGAUCUUAUGUGUUAGCCCCUGGUAUUUAUCAUAUUAGUAACCAUGUCCUGAUUUUAUUCAGAAAUGAUUUUAAAAUGAAAGGUAAUCUAGUAAAUUUUAGUAAAUUGAUAACUUAAGUUACAUAACUCCGAUUUGAUCCGUUCGAGUUGCGUCAACUUCAUAAUAAUUUGGACUACACUUUAGUAACUCUAUUUUUUACAAAACAUAUUCUCAAAAAUAAAUAAUUAAUUUGUUUAACCUCUAGUUAUCAAAUAAACUUUGCUAAAGCAAGUUAAAUGCGAUGUGAUAACUGAUUCCUCCACAACUGAUGGAAAUAUGACUUCCAAUUAGGUUAUAACUUAAAUUAAUGAUUGAAUUAGUUAUUUCUUUAAUGUAUUUUCUCAAAUGAUUUUUAUUAAUCAAUAGAGGAUAUAGUGUUAUUGUUUAAACACCUAAAACCUCAUAAAACUGUAUCUUUUGAACCGUAACUCCGAAUUUAGUGGUUCUCGAUCCCACGAUCUCGUAGCAACGCAUAGAUUACUAUUAUGCAGUUUGUACUUAUGUUUGAUGUAAUGUUAAUUUUGCCUAUACCAUGUUUGUCUGUAUUGCUUCGACUAGCAGCGAGGUUACGAGUCACCUGAAGAUCAUCCUGGUACCUGGUAUCUCAAGUCCCAAGCAAGUUAUGCCCUUGAUCACUUCUUUUUACCCACUCAUGUUCUGAUUAAUCAUAAUGAUCUGCAUAGGUUAAUUUUGAUAGGAUCCAAUAGGUUACCCUAGUUUUGACUAUCUUUAUGCCUUGUUUACCACUGAACUUUUUGGGUAGUACUUGCUAGUGUUAUAUGUGGAUUUGGGCAUUGAGAUACAUAUUAUUCAUACUUUUGUUAUCAGUUGUUAUUUACUCUUCAUGAUAAGAUCAUUAUGUUAAUGGGAACAUGGAGCAACCACCCGAGAAAACAGUGCUACCACAAGGGUAGUAUGGGAUGCCCUUGGCUGAUUAACUAGAAAAGCUAGUGGAUGACUACCUUACCCAAAAGGGGCAAGGGAAGUAGGGGAGUGCUCAGUGUAGGGAGGUCCUUGGGUUGAUUUUGCUGCGAUGGCGGUCAGGCGAGGGAUCACUGCACUGGAGCUUCCUAGAAACUGUAGCGGGUUUUCUGAAGCUAGUGGAACUUUGUAAAGGCCUCGUAGUGUUACACUGCCUCGCCUCCUCGGUAGAGGUAUAUGGAAAGUCGCGAUCCCUUGGCAGAUGGGUAACAUGACUUGUGGGUAAAGAUGUGCAACCUCUGCAGAGUGUAAAACUGGUAUAUCAGCCGUGCUCACGGUCAUGAGCAGCUCGGACCCUCACAUGAUUAAUUUAUGGAACUAAAUUCAGUUUGUCAUAUGCAUUGCAUCGCAAGUGUUGUUAUUACUUUUGUUCUACUACUUAACUGAGUUGGUAUUUACUUAUACUUAGUAAUUGCUAAUAAAAUUUUGACCAACUUUAAAAGCAAUGCUCAGCUUCAACCAUCCUCUUCGGUAAGCCUUACACUUCACAUGAGCUCCCACCUUUGGCGAGUUCAUGCACAUUAUUCCCCACAACUUGUUGAGCGAUGAACAUAUGUGAGCUCACUCUUGCUAUCUCACACCUCUCCACAGGUCAAGAACAGGGACCACAAGAUGAGGCGCAUGGAGGAUGCUGUGACAAGUUCGUGAGAGGUCUAGGCCGUCGUCUCCCAGUCAACUGUGGGUUGCUGGAUCAUUGUCUCCCUAUGAUGUAAUUAUUUAUUUUGUACAGAACUCUUAUUAUAUAGUAAAAAUGUGACAUUCGUUUUUGUACCACUAUUCAUCAUAUGUGUGAGACUUGGUCCCAGCACACCUGGUGUUUAUUUCGCGCCUGGGUUUUGGUGCCCCGAAACC
rnacentral:lncRNA from 1 species